UGGGGAAUUUUGGACAAUGGGGGCAACCCUGAUCCAGCCAUGCCGCGUGAGUGAAGAAUGCCUUCGGGUUGUCAAGCUCUUUCAGCCGGGAAGAAAACGCAUGGGUUAAUACCCUGUGUGGAUGACGGUACCGUCAUAAUAAUCACCGGCUAACUACGUGCCCGCCGCCGCGGUAAUACGUAGGGUGCGAGCGUUAAUCGGAAUUACUGUUCGUAAACCUGGCGCAGUCGUGUUUGUAAGACAGGCUUGAAAUCCCCGGGCUCAACCUGGGAACUGCGUUUGUGACUGAAAGGCUAGAGUAUGGCAGAGGGGGGGGGAAUUCCAAGUGUAGCAGUGAAAUGAGUAGAGAUGGGGAGGAACACCGAUGGCGAAGGCAGCACCCUGGGCCAAUACUGAAGCUCAUGCACGAAAGCGUGGGUAGCAAACA
rnacentral:rRNA from 1 species